UUUCUAUAGUAUUUUUAAGAAAUUUCGUGGGAGGGCUUUUAGAUGAUUGUGACCCAUUGAAAAUUUUCUUAGGGCAUAAUGAAAAGAAAAAAGCUGAGAAUCGAUGACACAUCUAAAGUAAAAGAAGGGAAUGAAAUGACAGAACAAUUUGCAGAUUUUAGUAAAAGUGUAAGAGAAGUUAUGUCAGAAAUAAGUUCACAAUUUUCUAUUAUGGCUAAUGCAAUAUCACAUGAGCACGAAAUGGUGGAAAAAAAAUAGGUCAAAAUUAGUAGAGGAAGUGCU
rnacentral:lncRNA from 1 species